UACGGAAGGCAGCAGUGGGGAAUAUUGCACAAUGGGCGCAAGCCUGAUGCAGCCAUGCCGCGUGUAUGAAGAAGGCCUUCGGGUUGUAAAGUACUUUCAGCGGGGAGGAAGGCGAUGCGGUUAAUAACCGCGUCGAUUGACGUUACCCGCAGAAGAAGCACCGGCUAACUCCGUGCCAGCAGCCGCGGUAAUACGGAGGGUGCAAGCGUUAAUCGGAAUUACUGGGCGUAAAGCGCACGCAGGCGGUCUGUUAAGUCAGAUGUGAAAUCCCCGGGCUUAACCUGGGAACUGCAUUUUGAAACUGGCAGGCUUGAGUCUUGUAGAGGGGGUAGAAUUCCAGGUGUAGCGGUGAAAUGCGUAGAGAUCUGGAGGAAUACCGGUGGCGAAGGCGGCCCCUGGGACAAGACUGACGCUCAGGUGCGAAAGCGUGGGGAGCGAAACAGGAUUAGAUACC
rnacentral:rRNA from 1 species